ensembl:lncRNA
AAACAUGAAAUAAGACCACGAAUGUCCACGAUGUAUUUGGAGUUACACUGCUUUAGGAGAAUCCUCAGCCUCUGUUUCUGAAUCAGAUCUCAGAAGAUUUGGAUUCCAGUGUCUGUCUACAUUACCAGGCUGCAGAGUAUGAUGAAAGGCGCUUUGGAUCUGUGAGAGGAGGCCCUUAAAGCUGACAUGGAGGAAUCACCCUGAGUUAGCAUUUAACAACUUUCAAGAGACGGCAUCUGUGGAUCAAACGAACGCAGCGCCUUCAACAGGUGCAAUUUAGGGCUGGAGUCGAUCCUAGCUGACUAAAGGUGAAGGUAGGGUUCAUCUGGACAGUUUCACAGGUAUCUGUUGAUUUAAAAAAAGGUCUCAAGCGCCAAGUGGUAGCCAAAAUUUAUGCCUACAGCUUCUAACUUUCUGGAUUAUUUAGCAGCUAAAAGCCAGAUACGUUUGUAGGCAGUUGGUGGCAACGACUCAAAGGAAAAAAAAUAAUUUACAUCAGGUCGCUCACAGCUGAUGCUAAUGUGUCCGAUAGAUGCUGAGUUUCUAGCCACCUGUCCAGAGAACAUUUACCGAACCUCUUCAGAGAACAUUUAGCAUCAGUUUCCCUGAUGUCUGCGAAGCGUUCACCUUCAGAAUCUUCUGAAAACAAUCUUCAGGCAGCGUCACUUGAAGCUUAGUGUUUUCUCUCCACCCAUUCUGACAGAAAUAUGUUUGUGUAGCUGCUGAACGCUCCACAGCAUGUUCACUAGUCUGGUGUUGACUUACUCCGUAAUCCUGACCAGCUUUAGGCGCUUUUCAGUCACAUUAACUGCUUGCGGCUCUUGAUACUAAUGAGAACUGUGAGGCUGAGACUGAAUAGUAAAGCUCUAAUGUUUGGGGACGAGUUGAAAGACGCUAAAACUCUCCGUGGAGCUGAGCCAGAGACAAUUCACUGAUUUAAAGGUUUGUCACUACAAGUGGCUGUUUUUUACAUUCUGUCCAGUCAUUUGUCUCCGUAGCCAUGCUGCCAUAACAUGAUUAUAUGCACAGUUUUAAGUAUAACAUUAGAAAAGUACAAAUGACAUAAUCUGAAAUAAUGGCCCCAAUUUUGAUAUAAACGCUCACUGGGCUUGGAUUUAGAUUUUUUUUUUAAAAGCGUUAAAGAGCUUCAGGGGAGAUGGAAACAUCUUUCUGAAUAAGUUCUGACAUGGUGAACAUUUAUCUCACAUGACUGAUCAGCUGUUUCUGCUCCUCUCUUCACCUCCAGACUGAAACGUGUCCAGAGAUAUGAAGGAAUAUUUACCACCAUCUUGAAUGAAAACAGCUCUGGAAGACUCUCUCUACAUGCCAAAGUUCAGUUUGUUGCUUGCUGGAGGUUUUCUGGUGCUUAGAAAAUAACUGGCAUCUUUUUUCUUCUUCAAGUCUGACUUGCAUUUUCUGUUUUCACAUUUUCUGAGACAUUUCAAAAGUUUGAUUGUAAUUCUUUUGAGAACACGGCUUGUGAGCUGGAUCUCCCUAGACACUUUAAAAUCAAAGCUGCAAAAGCAAAUAAUACCAGAGCAAAAAUUUAACUCUGCAAUCUGAAACAUGCUCAAAAAAAGAAACACAUUUUAUAUUAUACUUUGCUAACUUCGCUGAAAAAAAGAAUCAUAAUAAAGCAAACUGAUGGUGUCAUAAACACAUUUCAGUGUCAGGUGCUUAUGAUUGUUGAGUUAUUUCACAAAAGAAUGAGAAGUUUCUUCCAUGAAAAUGACAAAAACAAACCAAAAAAAAAGCUGCCUCAAUGUGUCAGACAUAUUUUUAUCAAAUUUAAACUGUCAAUCAAAACAGCCAUAUUCAGUUUUUGUCAGCAAUUAUUAAGCAAACAUGAAAUCUGGAUUAAAUAGAAUUUUAAAAAUAACUACUGUACAUUAUGUAUACAUUAAUGGAACAUCUAAUUAUGUCUGAUUAUUUCACAUUUCACAUUAGUAGCUCCAAACCCCGAUACAAAUCUACAAGUCUAUUUUUUUUUUUUUUUUUUUUUAAUUUUCUGGAACAUUUCAAGAGUUAUUGUGAGGAAUAACGACUAGUGCAGGUUGGAGCAUCUUGACUGUUUCAUGGGAACUCAGUAGAGGCAGAAUGAAGAUGAAUUCACAGAAACUGUGACAGGAUAACUGACAAAAUGAUUUAAUAUAUGAAGAAUGGACAAAAACACGUUAUAAGCAGUGAGGAUGCUGUAACUGUUCUGCUUCAUAGACAGAUCUGUGUUGUAACUCAAAUUCACAGAAAUGUGAAUGUGUAGUAAUACUGUAUUUAUUCAUUCUUCAUUCUUGUAUAUAUUGUAUAUAUUAUUGUUAUUAUAAAUAUUAUCUUUACUGUACAUAUGGUUAGUGUUGCUCUGAAAAAUUUUUGCUGCUGUAACACUGGAAAUUUCCCCUGACGUGGGGAGUAAUAAAGGACUAUCUUAUCUUAUCUUAUCUUAUCUUGUCUUAAAUACUGAAACAUGUUGUAAUUAUGAACCAUAAACUGAAUAGAUGACGAAUGAAACUAAAGUACAGAGCAGCAGCUUGUGUGUUUCCUUUGCAUAAAGCUGAUCCAGCUGCAUUCCUCGGUG